GGGCGACAGAGAGAGACUCCAUCUCAAAAACAAAACAAAACAAAACAAAAAAAACAAAAAGUGAAGCCAACUCAAUUGUCUCAUAGAACUGAUCUUUACGGUGUUUUUAAAUAAACAUAGAAAUUGGCCCUCCCAGUCUUAAAACUUCAAAAACUUACAUUUGUCUUACCUCAGUUCCUUUCUCAGGAAUCCAAUCAUCAAGGCUCCCAGAUAGUAUCAAUGAACGGAAACUUACCAGAUCACGAUAUCUGGACAAUGAGAUGUCAGAUCCCCCUCAUCCAUCCUGAUUACCUAACUGACUACCUGCUUCCUGUUGGCCAACUACUCUUCCUUACCCCUCCCUAAUUCUUGUUUUCCCACAAAUGGUUACAUUUCUGUCCUGCUAUAGAAGCCCUUAAUUUUAAUUGGUCGAGGAGAUGGAUUUGAGACUGAUUUUUUGCUCUCCUUGGCUGUUGCACCUGAAUAGCCUUUUUCCCUGGCAAUACUUUUUGUCUCAGUGAUUGGCUUUCUGUGCAGUGAGCAAUGGGACCAAACUUCUGGUGUUUUGGUAACAAAUUUUGGUUUCCUGACUGUGAAUGCAUUGCUUGUGACUCAGCUGCCAUGAGCUGGGAGAGUUUCAAAAGCCCUCUAAGCAGCUACCUGACCAUUUUGGCCAGAGGUGGAUUUUCGUCUCUCCCCAUUUGGGCCCACUUCUGCCAACCCCAACCAUGUUCCUGAUUGCCUAGGAAGAACAGCCUUUGAAAUUUGACGUCUAUGUACAGAAAGGUACAAACUGUUGCCUAAGGAUACAGGGUGUGUGGCUGGUGGCCUCAACAGGCCCCACGGCUCAGGCACUCAGACCCAAGCUGGUCCCUCAGCCCAUAUUACUAAAUGCCUGACUUCAGAAAAAAAACGUAAACAAAAGACAGAGAUUGGAAGCAUCAGAAUUUUAUUCCAGUGACUCAAUCCCCAUUGUGUGAAGUAGACCAGAAUGAAUAAAUUGAACUUACUCAGCACCUCAAUUAUUAAAUGUAUCCACAGAAAUUCAUUCUGUCAAGUUAACUGUGGAGGUUGUUGUUGCUAUUGCAGACUAAAUGGUUUUCCUGGGAACUCUGACUCUGGCCACAAGAUCAAGACUGACAAAUUUCCUUUCUCUGUUUAUGGAGGGAGACUUCACAACAUUCACUGAAAGAGGAGCAAAGGACCUGGUUUUUGCCAUGACUGGCUUUGGCCCCGUGAAUGAAUGUUUUUCUGGCAUUGGAAAGCGGAUAGCAAAGAGAGCAGAACCACAAAUGGGCUAUGAGGAAAUGUGUUCAAUGAAGAAAACAAAAUCUCUGACAAGAUCCAACAUAGGACAACAUCUCAGCAUCUUCUGUGAUUUGUGAACCCAAGUAAAGCACUUCUUAGAGUUAUCUGGCACAUUCGCAACUAAUAGCUUUCUGUGAAUAAAUACUGUGGCAACC
rnacentral:lncRNA from 1 species